CAUUUUUGGAUCCUCUGAUUUAUUUGAUUGUUAUUCUUCUUUGAUUGUUCUGAUUUAAAUGUUCUACACUUCUUCACAUCAGAUUUGGAGAUAACAUGGUCAUGGCAGAAUUUUUCAGCCACAGUUUCUAUUGGUAAAUUGUAAAACCAGAAAUUAUGGGGGAUGCAAAUUUUGUACUUAGCUGUUAGCACAGACCUGUGGGUUUAAAGUGCCCCAGCUCCUAAAAGGAGAUUGGCUAAAUAUACUGUAGACAAAGAGACAUGGAAGAUUAGCAGUGAUUAAAGGUUCACUAGCCUGAAUAGUGGUUGCAGCUGUAGUGAGAGAGGAGCAUAGCCCGUACAUUUAAAAACCCAGGUAAAGACAAGCACCAUAUAGUUGGAAUACAUUUACAAAUUUUAUUCUGUGUAGCAUUGGAGAACAUCUGUUAGUCUGUUAGAAGUAUUGUCUGUGUAAGUAUAUGUUCUGUUCCCUUAAAACAGUUGGCCAGUUAAAGUAUUUUAGCACGUUUAACUCUAACAGAGUUCAUGGAAUUAAAUUUUCCAUAAACUAGAAUGAACUAAGGAACUAAACAGUAGUGUAGCCUAAUUGGUGUGUGAUGUAUAAAAAAAAACAAAAAACUCACAUGCAGCCUUUGAUGUUGUAAUGCAGUUUGUUCCUGUCAAAUUACUUCAUUUUAUUUAACAGUGGGGAUUUAUGCAAUACUUUUUUUUUUAAAAAAUGAGACCGGCUAUUCCUCCACUGCUGGUCACAUUAUUAAGAGUGUAUAGAGUGUAAUGGCUCAAUGCUGAGAGCUCGGAUGGACACCUCAUGCCAGGACCUGUGUCGCUCACUCGCCAGCCAAAAUGAAAACAUAGACAUCUCACAGUCGGUGCUCUACACCUCCCUCAUGGGCUUGUUGCUGGUGGCUGACAAAGAGAGAGAGCUAACACUGGCCAGUGGACAAGUUGGACUGCAUAAUGCUGGGAACACAUGUUUUCUGAAUGCCAUUGUGCAGUGUCUCUCCCACACUCAGGGUCUUAGAGACUACUGUCUGACUAAAACCUAUCUUCAGGACAUGUGCUCCAGUCAAGAGCCAGAGCUGAUGAAUGAAUUCACCAAAGUUUUGGAAGGGCUGUGGUGCACAGAUGAAGGGAAAAGGACAGUCAAUCCUGAAC
ensembl:lncRNA